GUGGCAUAAGGAUGACCAUAGUUGUAGUGAAUGUUAUGUAGCCUGAAAACUAUAUUUAUUACCACUCUCCUUCUCUCUCUCUCUCUCUCUCUCUCAGCCUAGCUAGCUAUCAGCUUGAUAGCUAUCAGUUUGUCCUUGAUUCCAGUCAGUGGUUACAGGGCCAAUGUGGGAAUCACAUCCCAGCAAAGAAAGCUCCAGGUGGCAGAACUCAACUCUUGGGACAUCUCCUCAUCUGGUGCUGAGCGCUAUGGAGUCUAAGCCUGGGGGGAUCUCCUUGCCCUUCUGCAACCUCUGAGCAGCAGCACAGGCGCUGCUCGGGAGCCUGUGACUGGUGUAAAUUGUACAGAUGCAGAUGAAGGAGAGGAAGCUCCAACAGCCGUUGAAUGCAGCCUGUGAACACUAGUGCUUCAUUGAUAGCCAGGAUACCUAGGCAUUUGCACUUGAAAGGGACAAUAAAGAGGUGUCAGAACAAUCA
rnacentral:lncRNA from 1 species